rnacentral:rRNA from 1 species
GGAGUUAGCCGGUGCUUCUUCUGUGAGUGAUGUCCUUCCUGCCGGUUAUUGACCCGCAGGCCUUCUUCCUCACUGAAAGUGCUUUACAACCCGAAGGCCUUCUUCACACACGCGGCAUGGCUGGAUCAGGGUUGCCCCCAUUGUCCAAUAUUCCCCACUGCUGACUCCCGUAGGAGUCUGGGCCGUGUCUCAGUCCCAGUGUGGCUGAUCAUCCUCUCAGACCAGCUACGGAUCGUCGCCUUGGUGAGCCGUUACCUCACCAACCAGCUAAUCCGACAUAGGCUCAUCCGAUAGCGCGAGGCCCGAAGGUCCCCCGCUUUCCCCCGUAGGGCGUAUGCGGUAUUAGCCUGGGUUUCCCCAGGUUAUCCCCCACUACCGGGCAGAUUCCUAUGCAUUACUCACCCGUCCGCCGCUCGCCACCAGGGAGCAAGCUCCCCGUGCUGCCGCUCGACUUGCAUGUGUUAGGCCUGCCGCCAGCGUUCAAUCUGAACCAGAUCAAAUUCUGA